GAUGAACGCUGGCGGCGUGCCUAAUACAUGCAAGUCGAGCGAAGCGGGGACGGGUGAGUAACACGUGGAUAACCUCCUUUAAGACUGGGAUAACUUCGUGAAACCGGAGCUAAACCGGCUCCUUACAGCUGGAUGCGCGUGGCAUUAGCUAGUUGGUAAGGUAACGGCUUACCAAGGCAACGAUGCAUAGCCGACCUGAGAGGGUGAUCGGCCACACUGGAACUGAGACACGGUCCAGACUCCUACGGGAGGCAGCAGUAGGGAAUCUUCCGCAAUGGGCGAAAGCCUGACGGAGCAACGCCGCGUGAGUGAUGAAGGUCUUCGGAUCGUAAAACUCUGUUAUUAGGGAAGCGGUACCUAAUCAGAAAGCCACGGCUAACUACGUGCCAGCAGCCGCGGUAAUUC
rnacentral:rRNA from 1 species